CUCGAACAUCGAUGUUAUCACUAAGAGAUACACACGCAAAGCAAGUGUUUGAUACAGGUAAAACAUAUUAGGGCGGUUCCUCUCGGCACAAUGGACAGGUUUCUGCACAUAACAAACCACGUGUCUGCUGCUUAUUUGUUUCU